AAGGAUCAUUGACACAACAACAAUAGACCAACCAAAAAACAAUUGAAGCGUACGAGUGUGAGUGUUCGGCACCACACGAGUGCGUCUUCUUUUCAACACCCUAUGUGAAAUGUGUAUGUCUUUGCUAGUAUUUUGUUUAGUCAUCGUAACGUCUCAAUUGACCGAUCGAUCGACCUAUAACUCUCUACUGACAAUAACAACUACAAACACCUCUCUCAACAACCAAACACAUCUAUCUGAAACGUCGUUGCGCAUGCCGCCACGACGAGACGAAAACAUAACCAAGAAACAACUGUUAACAACGGAUAUCUUGGCUCCU
rnacentral:misc_RNA from 1 species